CCUACGGGUGGCUGCAGUGGGGAAUAUUGGACAAUGGGCGAAAGCCUGAUCCAGCCAUGCCGCGUGUGUGAAGAAGGCCUUCGGGUUGUAAAGCACUUUCAGUGGGGAAGAAAGCCUUGGGGCUAAUACCCUCGAGGAAGGACAUCACCCACAGAAGAAGCACCGGCUAACUCCGUGCCAGCAGCCGCGGUAAUACGGAGGGUGCGAGCGUUAAUCGGAAUUACUGGGCGUAAAGCGCGCGUAGGCGGUCUGAUAAGCCGGUUGUGAAAGCCCCGGGCUCAACCUGGGAACGGCAUCCGGAACUGUCAGGGUAGAGUGCAGGAGAGGAAGGUAGAAUUCCCGGUGUAGCGGUGAAAUGCGUAGAGAUCGGGAGGAAUACCAGUGGCGAAGGCGGCCUUCUGGACUGACACUGACGCUGAGGUGCGAAAGCGUGGGUAGCAAACAGGAUUAGAUACCCUGUAGUC
rnacentral:rRNA from 1 species